UACGGGGGGGAGCAAGCGUUGUUCGGAUUUACUGGGCGUAAAGGGCGCGUAGGCGGCGCAACAAGUCACUUGUGAAAUCUCCGAGCUUAACUCGGAAAGGUCAACUGAUACUGUGCGGCUAGAGUGCGGAAGGGGCAACUGGAAUUCUUGGUGUAGCGGUGAAAUGCGUAGAUAUCAAGAGGAACACCUGCGGCGAAGGCGGGUUGCUGGGCCGACACUGACGCUGAGGCGCGAAAGCCAGGGGAGCGAACGGG
rnacentral:rRNA from 1 species